GAAGCUUUACAGAAGCUUCACAGAAGCUUGACAGAAGUUUCUGUGAAGCUUCUGUGAAGCUUCUGUAAAGCUUC